rnacentral:lncRNA from 1 species
GGGGCCUGAAGUUAGGCAGAUUUUUCUCAUCACAUGAUGGGGGACCUGUAUCAUGUGAUGGCUCCGGUGAUGUUGGAGGCGGCAUGUGACUCCCAGGGCUACGUGGGCUCAAAAACAAUUUAAAUACAAAAACACACGCAGGUUCCCCUCCUUCCCUUUGCCUUUUGGUCUGGCUCUCUCUACCUUUGCGUUGGUGCCUGACCGAAUGGAAAACCCUUCUUCGUUUUGCAGCCUGUGAGCUCCGGGUACCUGGAGACAAGGCCCCUGUGCUGCCCCCACCCCAGGAGCCGUCCCCCCAGCAUUCUGCAGUCCUCUGACUAUCAGCCUGGUGUGGACACUGAGGCCCAGAGAGGUGAUGUGAUUUGCCUAAAGUCAUGCAACUAGUGGCAGAGCCCAGCCUAGAAGCCAGGUGUCCUGGAUCUCAAGAUACUCCACUGCCUGAGGAAUGGAACAGGUAAUGUAUCUCACAGUGUGGGGUGUGGAUCAGUCCUUGCAGCCUGAGGUGUCUGAUAUGCACUGAGUCAACAGAGGAAGCAGCCACUCACAAUCCUGAUGUGUUGAAUAGGGUUGAAAUCAAAUAUUUGAAAUUCAGCCCCUAAGAUCCAAAGACAGCAACUAAUAUCCAUACCCCCAUGGCAAACAUCCCCUUCUGAAGGUGGGUUUUUUUGUUUUUG